GGCUCCUGAGAAGGUUUCAGAAUGCUUCGGAGGAGGUGUGGGGACUUGAUCUAACAUUUGAAUGAGGUUUAAGAUUAGACUGGUCCAGGAAGGGAUGAGAAAGUGCAGACAGGCACAGAGCAUCGUAGGAGGAGGAGUGUUGACAAGAUGGAGCUGGCCGUGGAUGUGUGGGCAACCGUGUGUGUACAGAGUGACUGUGGCAGAGGAGGGGGACGAAAAGGUUUGCAGCAGAUGGAUUCCGAGUGGCCCAGCUUGGUCAAGAGGACUACCCUGUUCUGAUCACUUAAGGUUAUUGCUGUGUGACUAAAGCUGAAAUGGGGAGAAUUUUGACCAAAUGUGGGAGAAGGCAAAGAUUGAAACUCUUGCUGAAAAACUUCUCACUAGGAUGCAUUUUGAGAAUAUCCACCAAUGCAGUCUUGGAUGUGGUAAGGAGCUGUGGCAUGCAGGUGAGUAGCAGAAGGUAGGCCAGCUUGCUAAGAGACGGGCCUAGUCUUCUCAAGCCAGCUGCCUUGUUAGCUUCAGAGAUAAUGUUCCAGGGCCAGAGACAACAGCAGGCUCCUAUGCAACUGCUAUUGCCAUCGACCCAUGGGCAGUCUCUCCAUUAAUGCUGCCAGUCCAGAAUGGAGACGCUGGACAUGCAUUGGUCUUUGCUGCCAGACAUGUAGCAAGGCCAGCAUCAUGAACAGGGUCAUCUUCAAGGACAGAGCCAGGUGACGGAGUCAUCCUUUGUGGCAACCAUGACAGUCAGGUAGGAAUGGAUCACUGUCUGCAAAUCCCUCUGCAGCUACAGAAUCGUGGUUUGGCUGAGAAUGCAAACGCACCACCCUGUUCCUCCCAGCAGUAAGGAGUGUGUAAUCAACACUGGAGUCAGACAGCGGGGAAAUUGUGAAUCCAAAAUGUGUUAUUCCUGGCUCCUCUCUCUUCUAGACAAAGCUCGCCUGGGCUUGCAUCUGCUCAGACUCAUUCCCACCAUUCUGGGUCCUUCUUUACUUCGUUCAGAGUUCAGCUCUGCUAACAUCAUCAGCAGCAGGAACCAUCUUUAACUGGAACUCCCAUGUGUUGUAAGUGAAGGCACAUAAUUGAGUCACACCUUCGAAAAGCUGGCAGCAUCUACUAAAACUAACCUUGUCAACACCCUAACACACAACCUCUCCACUGCUCUACCAAUACUUAACAGAGAUGGGUGUCUAUAGUCACCCAAAGACACACAACUUGAUGGCUGUAAUAGCUUUGUUCACAUUGGCACAAAGCUAGAAGAAAUCCAAAUGCCCACCAACUAGAGAAUGGACAAAUUAAUUUGGGGAUGUUCUUACAAUGAAAUACUACGCUGUGAGGAAAAGAAGGCAGCUACUGCUCCACCCAACAACAUGGAUGGGUCUCAAAAGCAUUAAGUCUACAGCAGCUCCUGUCUCUUAAAGGACCCAGGUUAAAUCUGCUGGCAGCAGAUCCAGCCUCCUUGGUCCUCUGGCAUGCCACGCCAAGCCCUGCUGCUGCUGCUAGCCUCAGAGAAAAACUGCUGCAAGGUCAUCAGCAUUAAGACACGGUCAGCAUCUUCCGAGGAGCACCGUCUAAGAUGGGGUUUCUCUUCCGGUUUCCACAGGAUCCCAGCGGUAGCUUCAGGUCUGUUGUUCAGAAUCAAAACAGAACACAUGACUGGACUGAUCACAGAGCUUCGUGUGGCCAGACUUUUCUGUCGGAUGCAAACAGCAAUAAAUGAGCAGCUCUAAUCUUUGAUUUAGCUUUGCCAAAAGGAAGGAAAAUAGAUUGGAACACAGCUAUAAUGCCUGGAAGUGCAGCAGCCAUCUUGGGACCAUGAGAAUGAAAUCAUUGAGGUCAAGCACAAAGGCUGAGCUAAGUCAACCUGAGUGUCACCCAGCAGAGACCCCUCUGUGGAGCUUGAGCAUCCUGACCGCAUACUUCAGGGUCCUCAGACUUUUGACAUGACAGCCUCUGCCUCCAAGAGUGACUGCUUCAGCAGAUCAAGACCAAAGCCGCAUGACCUUUUAUGACUGCCAUAACAAAAUGUCACAGACCAGGGAGCCCAAACAACAGAAAUUUAUUUUAUCACAGUUCUGGAGGCUAGAAGUUCAAGAUCAAGGCGCCAGCAGGGUUAAGUUCCUCUGAGGCCUCUCUUCUUGGCUUGCAGGGGGCCAAACUUCAACUCAUCAUCACUGUGCAGGCAUCCUUGGUGUCUCUUUCUCUUCUUACAAGGACAUCAGUCAUAUGGGAGAGUUUCACCCUAACAGCCUCACUUUAACUUAAUCACCUCUUUAAAGACCUAUCCAAAUAUAGUUACGUUCUGAUGCAAUGGGGUGUUGAGACUUCAACAUAUGGAUUCUGUGGGGACACAUUUCACCCCACAACAAUGACCUAGCCUCAGAGUCACCCAGUGUUGCUUCCUUCACAGGCUAUUGGCACAAUGAUAAGCUCACCCUGAUUUGGGCUGUGCUGGGGAGGUUGGCAUAGACUGUGACUCUUAAUGGGAGAAUGUUGAAGACUUUUCUGCCAUGUUCUCACACAGCCGGGAUUUGAAGCAGUUGAGGAAGAAGCUAGUGUGAGUGAUUACUGGGAGCUACAGACACUGAUGGGCUUUUAAAUGUGAUAAGACACACAUUAUACAAAUGAGUUAGAACGGUGAAAGGUCCUGUGAUGAAAAGAAACAGAUGGAGGCCAUUAUUUUGGGCAUUGAGACAUAGCAGAGAAAUACAAAAAGGUUCUUCUUUUCAUGAUGGGAAGACAGGAUGUGCGGGUAAAAACAGAAGUAAAGAAAUAGGUAACAUUUAAUUAGUUCCUAUUUCCUGGUAGAGGUUACUCGUUCCCAUUUUUUUUUAAAAAAAACACAUCAUUUUUUUUCCCAUUUAGAAAGAUCUAAUUUUGACAUUAAAGAUAGGUCUUCAUAUUCAAAUUUUGGUAUGGACAAGCAUAUGGGUCCUCAGAUUUAUUUUGAGAGUCCAAGAGUUACACAAGUAAUACGCGUCUGUGUUUAUUUUCAGGAUCAUCAAAACUGAAAAAGUUAUUUUGUGGUGAUAAAUCAAAAUUGAAGAACAAAAUCUUAGUUUGUGAAAUCACUAUUUCUCCAGGCAGGGCUUACAGAAAGAUUCUCAGUUGUUUGGAUGUUUUUUCCUUUAGGAAGGGAUUGCAUCUUACUCGUGAUCAAGAAGCAUUUGUAUUCAUGGCAAUAACGAUAAGGUUUACAAGAGCUUAAUUUUGUUGAGGAUUCAAACUGAGUAGGCAAGUGAAGGUAUAUGAAAUGUUCCUCUGAACUGCAGGGGAAAAAAAAGUAAUCCUUCCAGAACAUUCUAAGGUGAUUUGUUUUCUGGUUCCUUUCCAAUCUUCAGAGUUAAUGAAGUUGCUGCUCUCAAAUGUACUGUUACAUGAAAAGGUGAGAUGAUGCUCCUUCUCUAUGACCCCAAGUGAAAGAUGAGCCUCUCAGUCAAUGGGCAGGGCAAAGAUUGAAGUGGAUUUGCGUAUGACUUGGAAAAGUACUUCUUUUGUUCUUAUAAAAUCACUAUUUGCAAAACACAUUGGGUUAACCAUUGUAUCUUCCCUUCUUUUUAAAUAUCAAAUUUUAAUGGUGAGGAUGUUGGUUAUAAUACAUUUCGUUUGUUAAAAUUAAGCAAUUUUACUUUGCCUCUUAAAAUUUAAUGGAAUGGUAAUUUUCCUGGCUUUUAGUAGCUGCAAAUCAAAAUUGGUCAAGUCAAUUUAACUAUAAUUUAGUAAAAUAAAACAUUUCUCUGUGGUCUGACAACUUCCAUGAAUAAUGUAUCUUUAAUAGCUGUCAAUUAAGGUAGUUUUUAAGAGAUUUAUGAUGGGGGUAUAAAUAUCUCCAAAAGGUAAUUUAUGGCACAGACUCAGACAAUUCUUUGAAUAAAUCUACUCUGACAGCAGAUAAAUUGCUAUACCGUAUAAAAAUAAUGGAAAACAUUUUGAAUGUCUCUGCUUGCUCUAUCCUGUUCCUUUUUAUUCCAUUCUUUCACCCCUUAAUUCCAAUAUCCAAAUCACAGAAUUUUAGAGGUGAAAGAAUCUAAGUGAUCAUCAGAAGUAACCUCCUCAGUAUACAAUUUACAUAUCAUAAUGCACAUUUUGUAUAUCUUAUAUAAAAAGCUAGAACCCAAGAGUACUCUGACCUCUUCAAAUAAAUCCGUUGACAUAGGUAUUUGAAUCCCAUAUGGAAUUGCUACACAAAAAUAUUGAAAAUCAUUUUAUGUUCAACAGCAGAAGUUGAAAAACUGAAAAAAGAUAAGAGUAUGACUAACAAUAUAGAGAUUCUCUGUGGUAAAUACACCGUAUACAAAAUUAAAGGACAACCAGCUGGUAGAAGCUCUUUGCCACAGGAUUGAAUUAAUCCACCUUUCUUUCUGACAUCCCUGUACCUCCUUUCUUGCUCGGAACUGGAGGGGUCUGGAGCUCUAGGAACAGAAAGAAAGCAUCAACUCUUAGAAUAUUGAAUUAGAAUUUCUUCUUCUCCAAUUCAUCCAGUCUUGCAUGCAAGUUCCAAGUUUUGUCCAUUCCUCUGAGGUCUUCCCUUAGGUCAUGACAGAUAGGACAAAGUGACAUCAGAACUGCUAUUUCCUGGCAAUCUAAUAGGAGCUGCAAUCCUGGUCCACAGGUAGAGAUAAAAGCUUGAGGGAUGUACCUGAGAUCAACCCCUCUUUCCAGAAAUUAAUAAGAUAAAGUCAUUUUGGAAUUUUUGCUUGGCGAAGCCUAAGAUAGUUCCUUUAUUGGGAAGGCUGUACAUGUGCUAGUGGCUGUCAAACCCCCUCUGGCCCCUUGAAAUAAACUCACAUUGUGGCAGAAGUCAGAAUGUGAAGCAGUUAAUGUAGCCAGUGCAGGCAUCUGUCUUCCAUCUCCCGCAUUUGUUCUGUAGAUCCUUGUCUUUCGUCUUUUAAAAUCAGCAGCCUCUUCCUUGGUUGAUUUUCCAUCCAUGGAGACCCCCACAGUCUGCUGGAGCCUUCAAACCAAUGCUCCAGUUUUUGACUUUCUAACUUGACUUUAACUGUUAGCACACCUCUGGCAUGACUAUCUUCUCUGCUGGCCCACUUGCAGCAAAAUCCUAUGUUAAGGAUACUUCUCUGAAAUACCACGUGGCCCAUCAAAAGAGGGAAAUAUAGUUUAUAGAAUAUCAUAAAUAUAAUAUUAAAUACAAAUAGAAGCCAAUCUGCAAUUCAAUGGGGUUAAAUAAGUGACUGGUGACAAUUUCCAUCUUCGGUGUAUCCUCAGCAACGUUUCCGAGGCAGCUUGUUUCUAUUUACUAUGUGCUAUUUGUUUGACAUCAUAUUGAUAUAAGUCCAUAAGUCCCAUCAGAAUUGGGAGCUUGUAUACAUUCCAUCCAUGCUUUAGUCUCUCUACAAAUUUCUGAAUGAGAAAGAAAUCAUAAGUUCUGGAACGUAAUGGAAUUAUAUAAAGCCCAAUUUAUACAUUGUGAACCAAAUUUGUAGCUUAUAUGUUCUGCAAAAUUACUGCUUUUAAGACAAAAAAAGAAAAAGAAAAAUGAAAUACUUUGCUUUAACAGAAAUGAAACUAUGUCAACAACCUCAAAAUUAAAGUCUUGCUUGUUUAUUCCUGGACAAUCUUUCAAUAGCUCUGCCUCUCCAGGGGCUUCUGCCCCUUUAUCGCCGAUGUUCCAGGUUUAAGAGAGACAAGUGUGCUGGCCGUGCGAUGAUUAUUCAGGACCACUGUUAGGAUGAUCCCUACUCCCUCACCCCUCUGUCUUUUGAGUAUGCUUCACCUGUGCCUGUCCAUUGGCCCUUCAGCCGAGGUGUGUGAACUGUGGGAAACUCUGCUGCAUCAUUGAAAGUUGAGUUGCAACUUUUCAUUCAGAUUUC